GUAGUCCACGCCGUAAACGAUGAGUGCUAGGUGUUGGGGGUCAAACCUCGGUGCCGCAAGCAAACGCAAUAAGUACUCCGCCUGGGGAGUACGUGCACAAGCAUGAAACUCAAAGGAAUUGACGGGGACCCGCACAAGCAGCGGAGCAUGUGGUUUAAUUCGUGGCUACGCGAAGAACCUUACCAGGACUUGACAUAUAUAUGAGGGGACAUAGAGAUAUGAAACCAGUAAGAGCUUGCUCUUAACAUAUAUACAGGUGGUGCAUGGUUGUCGUCAGCUCGUGUCGUGAGAUGUUGGGUUAAGUCCCGCAACGAGCGCAACCCUUGCAAUUAGUUACUAACAGAUAAAGCUGAGGACUCUAAUUGGACUGCCGAUGAUAAAUCGGA
rnacentral:rRNA from 1 species